GAUGAAGAACGUAGCGAAAUGCGAUAAGUAAUGCGAAUUGCAGAAUCCGUGAGUCAUCGAAUCUUUGUACGCACAUUGCGCCCUCUGGUAUUCCGGAGGGCAUGCCUGUUCGAGCGUCAUUAUCACCCCCCAAGCCCGGCUUGUUGUUGGAUGCAGCGCUUAUCCCGCUCCUCCCAAAGAUAAUGACGGCGUCUGCGACGACUCCUGUACACUGAGCUUUCGGGCACGUACACGGCUAGAAGUCCAGACCCGGUCGCCGUCCCCCCCCGCGGGGACACCCAUUACCACAAGGUUGACCUCGGAUCAGGUAGGAAUACCCGCUGAACUUAAGCAUAUCAAUAAGCGGAGGA
rnacentral:misc_RNA from 1 species